rnacentral:rRNA from 1 species
GGAAACUUGAGUGCAGAAGAGGAGAGUGGAAUUCCACGUGUAGCGGUGAAAUGCGUAGAGAUGUGGAGGAACACCAGUGGCGAAGGCGACUCUCUGGUCUGUAACUGACGCUGAGGAGCGAAAGCGUGGGGAGCGAACAGGAUUAGAUACCCUGGUAGUCCACGCCGUAAACGAUGAGUGCUAAGUGUUAGGGGGUUUCCGCCCCUUAGUGCUGCAGCUAACGCAUUAAGCACUCCGCCUGGGGAGUACGGUCGCAAGACUGAAACUCAAAGGAAUUGACGGGGGCCCGCACAAGCGGUGGAGCAUGUGGUUUAAUUCGAAGCAACGCGAAGAACCUUACCAGGUCUUGACAUCCUCUGACAACCCUAGAGAUAGGGCUUUCCCUUCGGGGACAGAGUGACAGGUGGUGCAUGGUUGUCGUCAGCUCGUGUCGUGAGAUGUUGGGUUAAGUCCCGCAACGAGCGCAACCCUUGAUCUUAGUUGCCAGCAUUCAGUUGGGCACUCUAAGGUGACUGCCGGUGACAAACCGGAGGAAGGUGGGGAUGACGUCAAAUCAUCAUGCCCCUUAUGACCUGGGCUACACACGUGCUACAAUGGACAGAACAAAGGGCUGCGAGACCGCAAGGUUUAGCCAAUCCCACAAAUCUGUUCUCAGUUCGGAUCGCAG